AAUUUUAUAUAUUCUAGCUUUACAAAUAAGGCAUUCCUAGAGGGUUGCAAUGGUGACAAAUUAUUCUGCUGGGGUUGUUAAAAAGCAUUUCGUCUGUCUAAAACAGGCCCAAGAGCAAGAUGGCUCACAGCCAGGCUAAGAAACGCAGGAGGAGUCGAAGUGAUUCCCGGAGCCGACGAGACAAGGAGGAAGAUAAGAAACGGAGGAAGAGCAGCAAAGAUUCCCGAGAGAGAAGGAGCCAAUCCCCAGCAAGCAAAAAAGAAUCUGAACCCCAGGAAUUCAGGAUGAGUUUAUCCUCUUCCAAAGACGGUAACAAGUAUCGGUAUGAACAUAAACAUGAUGCCAGGUGGGAUGAGCCAAAGGGGCAUGGCACAAAAGCAACAAAGUCACAAAAGUAGGUAAAGUCCCUUUAAUUCCUCCAACUUGGCCCCCAAUGUCCAGUUAUCAUUGGCUGGAGAAAAAAACUCUCCCAAGAACAGUUUGUAAAGGGAAGAAAUUCAGUCCGAACCCAAAGUAUAUAUAGAUUUUAAAUAAAAACCAACACAAAUCACAACUGCAGCAAUUAACGAGACAGGGCAGGGUAAGGAAUUGCAGACUUCAAAAGAUAAUGAAACACACACAGUUGGGAGGACGCCAGAACCCAGAUAAGACUUGACAAACAAAGAUAAUUCACGCUUUGCUUCCAGCAAGGUGCUGUGCACAAACACCCUUUUUAAAUCCUGUUUUCCCAGCUGCAACUAAUGAAAGGGAUCAGGGCCCUUUUCUCUCCCAUAAGCCACAUUGCUCCCUUCUCCAUUCCUCCCUGCGUGCCCUAGGAUGAAGAGGGGGUGGGCCUGGGUCUUCCUCUGAAUGCCCAGCCAGACUGUGCCCUUCCCCAGUUUCUUCCACAGCCACUGGAGCCACUCCCCCACUCCCUGUCAGCUGCUUGACCUCCCCCUUGGAAUGACAUGGCAUGACAUCAGGAUUCCAGCAGUUACCCCCAAUUAAAUCAUGAGUCUCGAGCCAAACUUCUGGAACUUCAAAAGGAGUUAACAUGCCGGCACUGCCUGGGUGUAGCCGACUCUGAGGCACAUCAUCCAUUGUCCCCCUUGACUCUGGUUUUGCCCCCACCCCCUGGGUGUAUCGUAAUUCAUAUUCUCCAAUGGGACACAUCCAUAGCCAAGAGUCAUCAAUCAUGCUCUCCAGUUAGAAUUUUGCCCAGCAGAAACUUCAGUCACCUAAGUUACUAUCUUUGAAAAAUUAUGUAUGGAAUGCACUUUUGGUUUCCAAGCUGCCGCACUGCCCUUUCCACCCCUCCCUUUCUGUUGGGAACUCUUAAAAAAAACCAUAGAAAUAUUUUAUGAGUUGACACAUGAACAAAGGAAGUAAAUACAGAUCAAUGGGAACCAUAGGACAGGGACGGUAGGCACGCUGGUGCGCUUAUGCACACCCCCUUUAAGGACCUCUUAGGAAUGGGGUGAGGUCCACGGUAGACAGUUUGAGGUUGAAGCUGGGAGGGUUUGAGGCUGUAACAAGAGAGUCAGAUUGUGGAGGCUGGCAGCAGUGAGGAAGAGGUCCCCGAGGAGCCCAGUGCGCAUGUGCACAGGGCUUAUUGAAGGAAAGAGCAGCUGCAGCAGCACUGGUGACUCAGGAGUAAGGCUGCAAGGUGAUGGCCCCUCCCUUAAGGGAUAAAAGCCAGCUGAGAAACCGGAGUUCUUUGCAGGAAGCAAAGACGUUUUUGCACUCAAGCCUUGUGGACAUUCGGGAUAUCUUGGUUGGUGUUUGGAGACUCUUUGCGUUUGAACUAUUUCUUGGCAACUUUAUCCAGUGUUCUUGGCAGCCUUGCAAAACCUUGGCAAGGCUGGUUCUUAUCAGAGACAAUUAGUCUGAAACAGCCUUUUCAAUCGGGAAGGAACGGAAUUCGUAAAGAAUCAUUAAAAGGUUUUGCUGCUACCUCCCGUUUGGUGUUUCUUUCCUUGGAACAAGGUUUGGGUCAGAGCAAUAAUAAAUUAAGCCGGUAGGAUCACACCUCCUGGA
rnacentral:lncRNA from 1 species